UACGUAGGGGGCAAGCGUUGUCCGGAUUUAUUGGGCGUAAAGAGCGUGUAGGCGGCCAGGUAGGUCAGCUGUGAAAACUCGAGGCUCAACCUCGAGACGUCGGUUGAAACCACCUGGCUAGAGUCCGGAAGAGGAGAGUGGAAUUCCCGGUGUAGCGGUGAAAUGCGCAGAUAUCGGGAGGAACACCAAUGGCGAAGGCAGCUCGCUGGGACGGUACUGACGCUGAGACGCGAAAGCGUGGGGAGCAAACAGG
rnacentral:rRNA from 1 species